UACCUGCCUUAGCUCCCCAAGUGCUGGGAUCAAAGGCUUGUGCCACGAUGCCCAGGUGUGUAGGCUUUGCUUUAAGUAAUCUAAACAAAAUCUAUACCUUUAUCUCUUUCAUAUAAGCUAUGAAGUUUUUUUUAAAAAGCAAAUAAUGUCGGUUUAUAGGAAAAAAGAAAUUAAAUAUAACUUCAUUCUAGGCAGGCAGGUAAAAUUACAUUUGUUUAACUGUAGUCAGUGGUUAAUAAAUACUUAUUUGAGAUGGUCAGAUGUUAAAUUAAAAAGUAAUAGCAGUAUUAAAGUGAGUUGUAGCUUUUGAAGAUGUGUGUUUCAGGUAACUAUCAGGUACCAAAUGAUAGAUAAAGCAGUGAAGGAGUACUCAAGAUGAGAGUUAGAGCAGGGGCAAAGCAGGUAGUUAGGUGGCAGCCGCUGCACGUUCCGUCUUGAAAAACUGACUGGAACAACUUGUUUUGAAUGUACUAUGUAAGAAUAUCUUUUAUACCUGAAAACCUUAAUAGGGCAUGGCUGCUAAUGCUUCUAACUCCCCACAAGUAGUAUGUGAAGGCCUGACAAUAAAUUUCAAGGCUGUACUUGCAUACAUAGUUUUAGGCUAGCCAGCCAGCCUGAGCUAUCAAUCUCUUUAUAAAGGGGUCAGGGACAAACAGCUUAUCUUGGACCUUUGGGAGGAAAAAUCCAGAGGACUUCUUGACUAGUUUAUGCAUACAAUAUGAAGGAGAAAAGCAUAUGGCAAGACUCACGUUACCUUAAGAUUCUGUAGUGCAUGAAAGAUUUUAAAAAUGUAGCAUAGGGAUUUCAGAAGACAAUAUACUUACUCAGGAUUUUAGGUAUAAAAAGUAUGAUAAAAUGGUACAUAAGGUCAAAUUAGAGUGUAGCCUGCACACCUAGAAAACUUGUUUCUCUCUUGGGUCGUCAACAGUUUUGUGGAAAAUUCAGAAAAAGACUUCAGACUUUGUUUUUAAGGUCAUUAUAACAACUCUUCUUGAUUCCAGCAGCUGUGGCUUGCUUAAACAAAAUCUAGUGAUGUGGUUGUUUAUGAUUUUAAGACCUUUUUUAUUAUUACCUCUAUUUUGAGAUAAUAUCUCACAGUGUAGCCCAGGCUAGUCUUGAACUUUGUCUUGUUUCCCCAGCUGAGUUUAUAGAUGUGUAUCACCAUGUCCCACUAGAGUGUUAAAUCCAAGAACUUUUAACUGAAAAUUUCAGUGCUGGUGUCCUUAGCCUACCUAGUGCAGUAUCAGAUGCCAGUGUAUUCAUACCUGAAGUAUGUGACAGUUUUGUGAUACAGUCUUUUCCCAUUAUGUUACAAAACCAUGUGUUUGUCAUACAAAUGCUUCCUUCCAUUAUCUCAAUGUUUCUGCUUGUAUAAUGCAUUAAAUUAUUGUUUUGGCUUUAACAUUGAGAAGUGGGAAAUUUCCUUUCCUUUCUUUCUCCUCCUCCCCCAUACUUUUCUCUCUCUUUUUUGGGGGUGUUUUGAGACAAGGUUUUUGUUUGCAGCCGCACCUGUCCUGGAAAUCAUUCUGUAGACCAAGCUAGCCUCAAACUCAUAGAGGUCCACCUGCCUCUGUCUCCUGAGUGCUGGAAUUGAAGACCACUACCUGACAGGAAUUUCUCUUUGAAUAAGAAGUAAAUAUUAAACUUAAAGGGUUAACAGUACUAAUCAUACUUUUCUGAAUUUCUCUGUGAGACACAUAAUAAUUUGGGUGAAGAAAGCACUUCUGAGCAGGGAGUGGUAGCAGGUAGCAGGUAGCAUAGACUGUAUCUAGCCUUUGGAUCGAUCUAGGGCAUCUUUGGCUACGUAAUAAGUUCCAGAGCAGUCUGGGCUAUAUGGGAUGUUGUUUGGCUGUUUGUUUGUUUGUUUGUUUUUUUAAUCAAAUAAGGAUAACGAUAUUUUUAUUUUAAAGAAGAUAAGUUUUGUGAGUCUCAUCCUUGGUGAUUUUCUUUUUUCUUUCUUUCUUUUUCUUUUUUUCCCUUUUUUUUUUUUUUUUUUUUUUUUGUUGUUGUUGUUGUUACUGGAUCUCACUGUGUUUCCAGACUGGCCUCAAGUUUUAAAGUUCCUGCCUCAGCCUCCUAAGUGUUAUUAUUAUUAAAGGCAUGCACCAACACCACCAGACUGGCUUUGGCUUUAAGAGCAACAUUUUUCUUUUUAAAGAAUUUAUUAUUUCCGGGCAGUGGUGGGACAUGCCUUUAAUCACAGCACUUGGGAGCCAAAGGCAGGCAGAUCUCUGAGUUUAAGGGUAGCCUGGGCUACAGAGAGAUUUCUAGGACAACCAGGGCUGCACCGAGAAAUCCUGUCCCCCAAACAAACAAACAAACAAACAAACGAAAAGAAAACUUUUAUAAGUUACUCUGUGUGUGUGUGUGUGUGUGUGUGUGUGUUUACGUGUGUAUGCACCUGUGUUUGUAUGUGUGUCGUUAUCUACAUAUGUAUGGAGGCCAGGAAAGGCAGGCUUAAGUUUAUAGUCUUGCUGUCUUGUGUCAACCUUUUGAGUAUUGGGUUUACAGCUGUUUACAACCACACAGCAGAAGCCUAUAGUUUUAAAAGCUGCUCAACUAGUUUUGC
rnacentral:lncRNA from 1 species